rnacentral:rRNA from 1 species
AUACGUAGGUGACAAGCGUUAUCCGGAUUUACUGGGCGUAAAGGGCGUGUAGGCGGUCUUGCAAGUCAGAAGUGAAAUUCCUGAGCUCAACUCGGGCGCUGCUUCUGAAACUGCAGGACUUGAGUGCUGGAGGGGAUAGCGGAAUUCCUAGUGGAGCGGUAAAAUGCGCAGAUAUUAGGAAGAACACCGGUGGCGAAGGCGGCUAUCUGGACAGUAACUGACGCUGAGGCGCGAAAGCGUGGGGAGCAAACAGGAUUAGAUACCCUGGUAGUCCACGCCGUAAACGAUGGAUACUAGGUGUAGGGGGUAUCGACCCCCUCUGUGCCGGAGUUAACGCAAUAAGUAUCCCGCCUGGGGAGUACGUGCGCAAGCAUGAAACUCAAAUGAAUUGACGGGG